GAUUUAGCGGCGGACGGGUGAGUAAUGCCUAGGAAUCUGCCUGGUAGUGGGGGAUAACGUCCGGAAACGGGCGCUAAUACCGCAUACGUCCUACGGGAGAAAGCAGGGGACCUUCGGGCCUUGCGCUAUCAGAUGAGCCUAGGUCGGAUUAGCUAGUUGGUGAGGUAAUGGCUCACCAAGGCGACGAUCCGUAACUGGUCUGAGAGGAUGAUCAGUCACACUGGAACUGAGACACGGUCCAGACUCCUACGGGAGGCAGCAGUGGGGAAUAUUGGACAAUGGGCGAAAGCCUGAUCCAGCCAUGCCGCGUGUGUGAAGAAGGUCUUCGGAUUGUAAAGCACUUUAAGUUGGGAGGAAGGGUUGUAGAUUAAUACUCUGCAAUUUUGACGUUACCGACAGAAUAAGCACCGGCUAACUUCGUGCCAGCAGCCGCGGUAAUACGAAGGGUGCAAGCGUUAAUCGGAAUUACUGGGCGUAAAGCGCGCGUA
rnacentral:rRNA from 1 species